rnacentral:piRNA from 1 species
UGGAGUGUCAAAACAGGAUUUCCUGCA